CCUAAGAGCAGUCGGUCACUACUAGCUCAUCUAAACAACCAGAGACCACUGUGUCUCCUAAGAGCAGUCGGUCACUACUAGCUCAUCUAAACAACCAGAGACCACUGUGUCUCCUAAGAGCAGUCGGUCACUACUAGCUCAUCUAAACAACCAGAGACCACUGUGUCUCCUAAGAGCAGUCGGUCACUACUAGCUCAUCUAAACAACCAGAGACCACUGUGUCUCCUAAGAGCAGUCGGUCACUACUAGCUCAUCUAAACAACCAGAGACCACUGUGUCUCCUAAGAGCAGUCGGUCACUACUAGCUCAUCUAAACAACCAGAGACCACUGUGUCUCCUAAGAGCAGUCGGUCACUACUAGCUCAUCUAAACAACCAGAGACCACUGUGUCUCCUAAGAGCAGUCGGUCACUACUAGCUCAUCUAAACAACCAGAGACCACCGUGUCUCCUAAGAGCAGUCGGUCACUACUAGCUCAUCUAAACAACCAGAGACCACUGUGUCUCCUAAGAGCAGUCGGUCACUACUAGCUCAUCUAAACAACCAGAGA